GCCCCUUCCGUUUCUUCAACCUCUCCAUGCCCUUGAUCUAGCGACUUGGAUUGUGUCUGCCGCGACCACCGUUCCCUGGCUCACCGCUCACAGUCCUCCUGACAUCGUCGACCACCGCAUCAGAUCGCUGCAGCACCACGCAAUCCUAUCUUGACCCAGUAGACGAAUCUCCUCGUCCUCUCCCUCGGCCUCGUUCCCAUGGGUAGAGCCGCCGCCUCCUCCUUCCUCCCCAACUACUCAUGUCGCUUCCGCGCAUCCUCUUCUCUCCUCCUUGCCCUGUGGUUCACUUGACUGCACGCCGGCGAGACCCCUACACUCCUUCUAUCGUGGUGGUGCGAAACAACGGUGACAAUUGCUCGAUGGUGCCAAGGAGGGGGAUUAGAUGAUUUGCCGGUUAAGAUCUAAUUUCUCACCAAGGAGCUAAUCCAGAAUCAAACCUCACCCCAUGAUCUCCUCGGGGGAAAAUGCGCAGGAAAUUGUGGUACGGCUACUGUCCUCGAUGGAUUUUAUCUGGCGUCAUCUCAAGACGACCGUCGUGCAGUGAAAAAUCUUGCACUUUGUCCGACAGAAUUCAGAGGGACUAGAAUGGGGAAGGACCUCGGCUGUAUCAGCUAACAGUAACACAACAACAGUACCUAAUGAUGUAUGGUUCCAGCCUUCAAGCCCAUGAUGGAACUGGUUACUUGAAUCUGAAUGGCCAACCUCAUGCCAACUAUCUUUUAAUCUUAAUAUGCUUUUGCAUUAUAUUCUUCAGUGAGAAGUUGUUAUAUGUUACAAAACUAGAUUCGAACUCACUUUAGAACUGACCUAAAUGCAUUCUUAGUCCAGUAGUUAAUUUGGACAUGCCACUUUCUGGCUUGCUCAUAAAUAUCUUCGCUAUUUUGACCCUCGAGCCAUCCAUUAGUCCUAUGUUGUUGUACCGAUGCGCCUGCUUUUUAUUCUAUUAGUUAUUUCAAAAAAGUCUGUACAUAUGUGCUUCAUCCGCUUACUGCAUAAGACUUCUUCCUAUAUUUUUCUGAACCAUUUAAGUUACACGAAAAUAUAUCUAUAUUGCCGUCUAUGCCAGAUUUGAAUUUCAUGGCUCCAAUGAUCCAAGCUCUUAUUGGUUGAUUCAUCACCGUUUGAUAUUAUUUAUGGAGUGAGAAAUUUUGAUUCAAUUAAGCGGAUUUGAUUAAUACAUAUAUGUUUAAUCAGUUUUCUGUGAUUUUUUAAUACUUGCAUCACAUGUCAAGAGCGGGAAAAGGUACAACGACAGACCAUGGUCCUUAGGCAUCUAUAUAGAAAUGCCUUCCGAAGCAGAGAACAAAAGCGUACGCAACUUCUAUUUAAUAUGCAGCUUUUCUAUUCACUAUGAUGAUUAUGAGCAUUUCAUGUACAAGAUGCAUCGGUGGAUUCUUGUUUCCGUUGAUCUGCUGCCUCGAUUGUUACCGAGCUAAGGGAGGAAAUCCUUGGAAUUCUCUGCUACCUAUACCCAUAGGGGUUUCAUUCAGAUUGUACAGUUGAAGAAGAAAAAACUAAAGCAUGCUUUGGACCUCAAUAGCAAAGGAUUUUGUUUUACUAUGCUCGUGCUAAAAACGUGUCCUUGUCAUUUUAGUUCUAUGCAGUAGAGGACUUGUUUUUUCUGAGAAGGAGGUAUCAUGUAUGCAAAGCCAAGAUAUGAAUAUGAAGAUUUUA